rnacentral:precursor_RNA from 13 species
CAGCCUGUGCACACCUGGCGGGCAGCUGUGGUGCAUUGUAGUUGCAUUGCAUGUUCUGGCAGUACCGUGCAAUGUUUCCACAGUGCAUCACAGAGGCCUGCCCGGCCCUCCAGAGGCCAG